CCUACGGGAGGCAGCAGUAGGGAAUCUUCCACAAUGGACGAAAGUCUGAUGGAGCAACGCCGCGUGAGUGAAGAAGGUUUUCGGCUCGUAAAGCUCUGUUGUUAGUGAAGAAAGAUAGAGGUAGUGACUAGCCUUUACUUGCCGGUAAUUUCUUAGAAAGUCACGGCUAACUACGUGCCAGCCGCCGCGGGUAUACGGAGGGGGCAAGCGGUGUCCGGAUUUUUUGGGCGUAAAAGGAGUGCAGGCGGCUCAAUAAGUCUGAUGUGAAAGCCUUAGGAUUAAACGGAGAAUUGCAUCAGAAACUGUUGAACUUGAGUGCAGGAGAGGAGAGUGGAACUCCAUGUGUAGCGGUGGAAUGCGUAGAUAUAUGGAAGAACACCAGUGGCGAAGGCGGCUCUCUGGUCUGCAACUGACGCUGAGGCUCGAAAGCAUGGGUAGCGAACAGGAUUAGAUACCCUAGUAGUC
rnacentral:rRNA from 1 species